UGGGGAAUAUUGCACAAUGGGGGAAACCCUGAUGCAGCGACGCCGCGUGAGCGAAGAAGUAUCUCGGUAUGUAAAGCUCUAUCAGCAGGGAAGAAAAUGACGGUACCUGACUAAGAAGCACCGGCUAAAUACGUGCCAGCAGCCGCGGUAAUACGUAUGGUGCAAGCGUUAUCCGGAUUUACUGGGUGUAAAGGGAGCGUAGACGGAGAAGCAAGUCUGGAGUGAAAGCCCGGGGCUCAACCCCGGGACUGCUUUGGAAACUGUUUUUCUUGAGUGCCGGAGAGGUAAGCGGAAUUCCUAGUGUAGCGGUGAAAUGCGUAGAUAUUAGGAGGAACACCAGUGGCGAAGGCGGCUUACUGGACGGUAACUGACGUUGAGGCUCGAAAGCGUGGGGAGCAAACA
rnacentral:rRNA from 1 species